UUUUUUUUUUUUUUGGCCUCAACUGUAGCUUAUGGAAGUUCCUUGGGCCAGGGAUCAAACCCUCGCCACAGCAGAGACUCAAGCUGCUGCAGUAACGCCGCCAGACCCCUAACCUGCUGUGUCACAGGAGAACUCCUCAAAUUGAUUUCUUUAGACUUUACAGAUCCACAUCUCAAACUGCCUUUUGUGUUCCAAUUGUAUAUGUUUUCACAUUAGCUGAUGGAGCAAUUUUUUUAACUUACUCAUCAUGGUGCUGCCUGGAAGCCAAAAGCUUGCUUUGAAGUGGGGUUCAUUUUGUCUAUGGAACAGUUUUAUGAUUAUUGAAAUAUUUCAUUACAUUUUGCUCUUAUUAUUUUAGAAAAAUUAGUGGAACUCAAAAGAUUAUAAGUAAAUGUGGAGCUCCCAUGGUGGCUCAGUAGAAAUGAACCUGACUAGUAUCCAUGAGGUUGCGGUAAGUUUGAUGUAUGUUUUUAAAAAUAAUUUUUUUUUAAAGUGUGAUUCUCCUAGUGAUAAGAAGCAUAAGUAUUGUGAACAAAAUUUAGGCCAAAAUGGGAACUGUUCAGAACAGAUUGAGUGGGCAAAACUUUAACCUUUCUUGUAAGCACAACGGACUUUAGCCAGGCAUUUCCAUGCUCAAUUGUGGAGAAAAAUGAUAAAAUUAAAGAAUAUUUAUAAAAUAUAUAAUAUUUACACUGGACAUGUAUCUAGUAAAGAUAUGAGGCAUUAAGGAAUUGUACAAUGUUUUACUAGUUCUCUGGUUAUGACUAUCUUCUCAAACAGCAUGCAUGAUACACCUAACUUUAGGGCACUUUUUUCAGGAAUGUAUUUUAUACAGAAGUAAAUACUGUCUCUAAACAGGAAGUACCAGCCCACUCCUCAGGCCAUAAGCUUGUCAACGGAGCCACUGUGAAAAUGGAAUCUGGUUUAGUUCUUUUCAUUUUCCCCAAACACGUAUCACCCCAUGUUCUCUGGUGAGUUUACGAGAGAGGCAGGGGUUUCUUGGCAAUCUUCGUCUGUGGGGCUACUUUAGUAUUAGCAGCUGACAAAAGACCAGGGUUACAAGGCAAGUGUUUCAAUAAACAUCUUCUCAGUGCCAGGCUGGCUCAGGCAGGGGUCCCCUCCCCCUUCAAUCCACUACCACCCCAGCCCCCUCCCCAGGCUCUGGCCCUAUCAAAAUUAGUUGAGGGAGUCAAGUUAACCCAAGUGGUUCCAGACUAAGAUACAGGUAGGCAUCUCAGAGAUGAGGCCAAAAAAUCCCUCAAUGAGCUUUGAGACUAAAGCAGCAAGGCUGCUGAUGCUUGGGCUACCUAAGACCUGGGCUGUAUUCACAACGUUGACAGUGAGACAGCAGAUGUGGUGGGGGCAGGUGCUCAUGGGUGUGGCAGCCUCCUGAGGUUGCUGCUGGGAACAUUCAGUUACAUUUCAAGGAUCUAAAAUACUGGCAAAGAUUAUACUUCUACAGAUUAUAUCCUCUUAGCAAUCACCCAGCAGGAAAUCCAGACCUGAAAUACAACGAAUGGAAAUCUUUUUUCCUUUUGGUAGGUAAUCUGAAACACGAACAUUGCAGAACCAGUUGGUUGCUGCGGUUUACUCACUACGCGGUCCUGACAGUGCAGGGGGUUAAUUUUAGUCUCACCAAGUCAAGGCAUAUAAAAAUAAAAGAAGGGUUUUAAAACAUAAGGGGUUGCUAAGGUGACUGCCUCCGGAAAAAGAACAUUUGGGAGGAAGAGUGACCUCCGCUGUGCAUUCCUUUGUAAACCUUUUGAAUAUUUUAUCUUGUGGUUGUACUACUGAAAAGGACAUUAUCAGUGAUAACAAUGACAAGAAGGAAGUAGACCUGGGGAGACAGGAGGUCCUCAGUAAACACUGGCAGGGAAGGCUGUCCAGGAGAGAAUCUUGAGUGAAGAAGCAAAUCGUGGCACCCUGAAUAUACACCAAUGCCAUUUGUCUUUUUUUAAAAAAAAGUUGUAUGCCCAAGAGAAUCAUCCAAUUGUCAGCAAUGGUUCCCUUUGGGACUUGGUUUGGUGAAAAUUCCUUUUUCUCCUUUAUACUCGUUUUGUGUGUUUAUAUAUAUGCCAACAUACACAUAAACAUAGUGCUUAUAUAUAUAUAUAUAUACACACACAUAUAUAAAUACUUAACUACCUAUUUUUAUAUUACAAACAGUAAAAACUGUUCCAGAAGAGAGGGGAAAAAAACCUUGAUGGAAUCUACUUUCAAAACACUUUUCUGUUCAAGAAGGUAAACAGCUUUUUUGAUUUCCAAGUGGUAAUUAACAAACUAAAAGGUAGUCUUUUUUCCACUUUGUAUUUUCGUCAUUCCAAAUUCACCAUGCUCAUUACACUUAAUAAAUAAUUUUCUGUCAAAAUCAAAUGCAUGAGGUUUGCCAUUUAAUCAUCUCAUAUCUAUCAACGGAUAGCAACUAGUAGAUUGUACCUAAAUUAGUAAGAGGGCCAUUCGAUGUAAUUUCUUAAAAUUCUUACUUCAAUACUUUUGCUAAACUCAAAAUAAUUUAAACUGAAUAAUAGACAUUUAAUUGGGAACAGAUUUUCAAAAUCAGUACAAAACUUAAAAAAAAAAUCCAAAGAAACAAUAUUCUUGACUUCCCCUGAUCAGGUUAGGCCCUCCUAGUUUAUGUUUCCAAUGCCUAGUUUAAUUCUUCUUUCUCAACACUAGUUACAUUAAUUUAAUGUCUUUGUCCUAACAGACUCAAAAUUCUCCACGGGCAAAAUUCUCCACCUCUAUCUUGUUCCCAUUAGCCCUGGGGCCUUGGAGGCAAGAAGUUUUUCAAAAGUAUUUGAUGAAAGAUAUAAAUCUAAACAAAAGGAGCUGCAAGAUUUGUAGAGACUCAAGAGCAAAAUAGUUCCUAAAUAAAGACUGCAUCACCAACCAACCAUGAAAGACCCGCAUCAUAAUUAAAAAUAGCAUAAGGAGGGAGGAAAACAUUAUUUGCCUGAAUGAUCUGUGUGACAAAAUCUAAGCAUGUGUUCUUUAGGCGCAGUUGCCAAAAGCCUCCAGA
rnacentral:lncRNA from 1 species